CAGCCGCCGCGGUAAAACGAGGGGGGCAAGCGUUGUUCGGAAUUAUUGGGCGUAAAGGGUGCGUAGGCGGUUUGGCAAGUUUGGUGUGAAAUCUUCGGGCUCAACUCGAAGUCUGCAUCGAAAACUGCCGGGCUUGAGUAUGGGAGAGGUGAGUGGAAUUUCCGGUGUAGCGGUGAAAUGCGUAGAGAUCUGGAGGAAUACCGAUGGCGAAGGCAGCCAUCUGGCCUAAUACUGACGCUGAGGUACGAAAGCAUGGGGAGCAAACAGGAUCAGAUACCCGCGUAGUCCCUGUCUCUUAUAA
rnacentral:rRNA from 1 species